CACCAAUAGACAUGGAUUCAUCUACCCUUGGAGUCGAGGAGGAGGAGAUUGAUAUUGCUGAGUCUGAGCUAUUCAGUUUCAGUGACCUUGCUUCUUCUUCUAUCGUCAUAGACUCAUAGACAAGGCUUUCAGCCAUUCGGAGGUAAAACAUCCACAAACUUGCAGGCUUGCAGCGACUCGCGGUUGGUCGCUUUAUAUGAUAUUAGGCUUUAGUAUAGUACGCAAUACUCAAUAGUAAUGCACUCUUUUAUCUUUUGAGCUUUGAACAAUUGAACUCUGUUCCUUUUUAUUGUUAGCUUUA